rnacentral:rRNA from 1 species
ACUAACUCUAGCCCUCAUAUUUAUUUACUCAACAACAUCUAAUUAUAAAAUAAAACAUUUAUUCCUAAAGUAUUGGAGAAAGAAAUUACUAUCAGGAGCCAUAGAGACAGUACCGUAAGGGAAAGAUGAAAGACCUAAUCAAUAGUGAAAAUUAGCAAAGAUUAAAUCUUGUACCUUUUGCAUAAUGAAUUAACUAGAAAAAUCCUAGCCAAAAGAACUUAAGCUAGAGACCCCGAAACCAAACGAGCUACCUAAAAACAAUUUUAUGAAUCAACCCGUCUAUGUAGCAAAAUAGUGGGAAGAUUUUUAGGUAGAGGUGAAAAGCCUAACGAGCUUGGUAAUAGCUGGUUACCCAAAAAAUGAAUUUUAGUUCAACUUUAAAUUUACUCAAAGAACUAAAAAAUCUUAACGUAAAUUUAAAUCAUAGCCAAAAGAGGGACAGCUCUUUAGGAAUGGAGAUAACCUUAAAUAGUGAAUAAAAUAACAAUUUUACUUAACCAUUGUAGGCCUAAAAGCAGCCACCAACAAAGAAAGCGUUCAAGCUCAACAUAACAAAUACACUAAUCCCCAAAUUUUAUUUAUUUCCUAAAUUCUACAUUGGGUCAAUCUAUAGUUUUAUAGAAGAAAUACUGUUAAUAUGAGUAACAAGAAUUUAUUCUCCCAGCACAAGUGUAUGACAACCCGGAUAACCAUUGUUAGUUACCCCAAACCUUAGAUAAUAACCACAUAAUAAGCCCAUCUAAGUCUAACUUGUUAACCCAACACAGGAGUGCUUAAAGGAAAGAUUAACCAAAAUAAAAGGAACUCGGCAAACAAGGACCCCGCCUGUUUACCAAAAACAUCACCUCUAGCAUUACAAGUAUUAGAGGCACUGCCUGCCCAGUGACUUAAGUUUAACGGCCGCGGUAUCCUGACCGUGCAAAGGUAGCAUAAUCACUUGUUCCUUAAUUAGGGACUCGCAUGAACGGCUAAACGAGGGUCCAACUGUCUCUUAUUUUUAAUCAGUGAAAUUGACCUUCCAGUGAAGAGGCUGGAAUAAUAUAAUAAGACGAGAAGACCCUAUGGAGCUUAAAUUAAUAAACUUAUUUAUAAUACACUUAACCUAAUGGCACAAAAAACAAAUAUUAUAAGUUUAAAAUUUUGGUUGGGGUGACCUCGGAGAACAAAAAAUCCUCCGAACGAUUGUAACUCAGACUAACAAGUCUCAGUAACCUAAAUUCCAAUUGACCCAAAAAUAUUUGAUCAACGGACCAAGUUACCCUAGGGAUAACAGCGCAAUCCUAUUUAAGAGUCCCUAUCGACAAUAGGGUUUACGACCUCGAUGUUGGAUCAGGACAUCCCAAUGGUGCAGAAGCUAUUAAUGGUUCGUUUGUUCAACGAUUAAAGUCCUACGUGAUCUGAGUUCAGACCGGAGAAAUCCAGGUCGGUUUCUAUCUAUUAACAAUUUCUCCCAGUACGAAAGGACAAGAGAAAUAGAGCCACCUUAACUAAAGCGCUCUUAACCAAAUUUAUGAAAUAAUCUGAAUAAUUUCUGUAUGUCUCACAAUUACCUAGACCAGGUC